ACGAAGGGGAGGCUAGCGUUGCUCGGAAUUACUGGGCGUAAAGGGCGCGUAGGCGGCCUGUUAAGUCAGACGUGAAAUCCCUCGGCUCAACCGGGGAACUGCGUCUGAUACUGGCGGGCUUGAAUUCGGGAGAGGGAUGUGGAAUUCCAGGUGUAGCGGUGAAAUGCGUAGAUAUCUGGAGGAACACCGAUGGCGAAGGCAGCUCGCUGGGACGGUACUGACGCUGAGGCGCGAAAGCGUGGGGAGCGAACAGG
rnacentral:rRNA from 1 species